rnacentral:rRNA from 1 species
AGAGUUUGAUCAUGGCUCAGAACGAACGCUGGCGGCAUGCCUAACACAUGCAAGUCGAACGGGAUCCUGGCUUCGGCCAGGUGAGAGUGGCGGACGGGUGAGUAACGCGUGGGAACCUGCCCAGUGGUGGGGGAUAACUGCGGGAAACUGCAGCUAAUACCGCAUGAGCCCGAGAGGGGAAAGAUUUAUCGCCAUUGGAGGGGCCCGCGUUCGAUUAGGUAGUUGGUGAGGUAAUGGCUCACCAAGCCGACGAUCGAUAGCUGGUCUGAGAGGAUGAUCAGCCACACUGGGACUGAGAUACGGCCCAGACUCCUACGGGAGGCAGCAGUGGGGAAUAUUGGACAAUGGGGGCAACCCUGAUCCAGCAAUGCCGCGUGAGUGAUGAAGGCCUUAGGGUUGUAAAGCUCUUUUGGCGGGGACGAUGAUGACGGUACCCGCAGAAUAAGCCCCGGCUAACUUCGUGCCAGCAGCCGCGGUAAUACGGAGGGAGCUAGCGUUGUUCGGAAUUACUGGGCGUAAAGGGCGCGUAGGCGGCUUAUCAAGUCAGGCGUGAAAUUCCCGGGCUCAACCUGGGGGCUGCGCUUGAUACUGGUUGGCUUGAACACGGGAGAGGAUAGUGGAAUUCCCAGUGUAGAGGUGAAAUUCGUAGAUAUUGGGAAGAACACCAGUGGCGAAGGCGGCUAUCUGGCCCGUUAUUGAC